CGCAAAACUGUUUUCGACACAUCCCUAUCUCUCGCACACUCUCUCUCGGUAAUAUAGCCUGCCGAAGAUUGAAGUCCACCGGAGUUACAAAACGCCACCGGAGUUCUCCCAGAAUAAUCGAAGCACGCCGGACAACUUUCUUUCUCUCCCGCUGUCGGAUAAUCGUUUCCGUUCGUUCGGUUCCUCAUCUUUCCUUGUGCAUUAUCUUCAAGGAAUCCUUAUACGCAACCACUGUGAACAGGUACGAAGAGAAGAUUGGACAUAGGAUGUGCCUUAGUUAACAAGAAACGGAUUAGUGUAGUUUAUUUAUGUCUCG